GUCGAGCGGGGAAGGUAGCUUGCUACUGGACCUAGCGGCGGACGGGUGAGUAAUGCUUAGGAAUCUGCCUAUUAGUGGGGGACAACAUCUCGAAAGGGAUGCUAAUACCGCAUACGUCCUACGGGAGAAAGCAGGGGAUCUUCGGACCUUGCGCUAAUAGAUGAGCCUAAGUCGGAUUAGCUAGUUGGUGGGGUAAAGGCCUACCAAGGCGACGAUCUGUAGCGGGUCUGAGAGGAUGAUCCGCCACACUGGGACUGAGACACGGCCCAGACUCCUACGGGAGGCAGCAGUGGGGAAUAUUGGACAAUGGGCGCAAGCCUGAUCCAGCCAUGCCGCGUGUGUGAAGAAGGCCUUAUGGUUGUAAAGCACUUUAAGCGAGGAGGAGGCUACUUUAGAUAAUACCUAGAGAUAGUGGACGUUACUCGCAGAAUAAGCACCGGCUAACUCUGUGCCAGCAGCCGCGGUAAUACAGAGGGUGCAAGCGUUAAUCGGAUUUACUGGGCGUAAAGCGCGCGUAGGCGGCUAAUUAAGUCAAAUGUGAAAUCCCCGAGCUUAACUUGGGAAUUGCAUUCGAUACUGGUUAGCUAGAGUGUGGGAGAGGAUGGUAGAAUUCCAGGUGUAGCGGUGAAAUGCGUAGAGAUCUGGAGGAAUACCGAUGGCGAAGGCAGCCAUCUGGCCUAACACUGACGCUGAGGUGCGAAAGCAUGGGGAGCAAACAGGAUUAGAUACCCUGGUAGUCCAUGCCGUAAACGAUGUCUACUAGCCGUUGGGGCCUUUGAGGCUUUAGUGGCGCAGCUAAC
rnacentral:rRNA from 1 species